UACGGGGGGAGCAAGCGUUGUUCGGAUUUACUGGGCGUAAAGAGCUCGUAGGCGGCUUGUCGCGUCGACUGUGAAAUCCCGCGGCUCAACUGCGGGUCUGCAGUCGAUACGGGCAGGCUAGAGUUCGGUAGGGGAGACUGGAAUUCCUGGUGUAGCGGUGAAAUGCGCAGAUAUCAGGAGGAACACCGGUGGCGAAGGCGGGUCUCUGGGCCGAUACUGACGCUGAGGAGCGAAAGCGUGGGGAGCGAACAGG
rnacentral:rRNA from 1 species